UAUAAAUAAAUUUUUUAUGAUUUAAAAAGUUUAAUUUAAAUUUAUUUUACAUAUAAAUUUUAGUAUGAAUUUUUAAUUAUUUUAAUAAUUUUUAAAAAUAAUUUAUAGUAAUUAAUAUUAAAAAUUUAAGAAAUUAAGAUUUAGUAAUAUUUAAAAUUAUUAACAAAUUUUGUGCCAGCAGUUGCGGUUAAACAAAAAAUAAUUUAAAUUUUAUUAGUAAAUAAUAAAUAUUAAUAAAUUAAAUUAAAUAUUAAAUUAUUAGGUGAAAUUUUAAUUUAAUUAAAAUUUUAAUAAAUAAUAUGAUUUAUUAAAUUUUAUAAAAAACUAGAAUUAGAUACUCUAUUAUUAAAAAUUAAAUAAAAAAUACUAAAAUAGUAUAUAAUUAUUUGUAGAAACUUAAAUAAUUUGGCGGUAUUUUAGUUCAUUUAGAGGAAUCUGUUUAAUAAUUGAUAAUCCACGAAUAAAUUUACUUAAUUUAUAUAUUUUGUAUAUCGUUGUUAAAAAAAUAUUUUUUAAUAAAAAUAAUAUUUAAAAAUUUUAAAAUUAAAUUAAUUCAGAUCAAGAUGCAGAUUAUAAUUAAGAAUAUAAUGGAUUACAAUAAGGAAUGAUUAAAUGAAUAAUAUAUUUUAAUAUAUAUUUGAAGGUGGAUUUAAAUGUAAUUUUAUUUAAUUUAUUAAAUGAUUAAAAAUUGAAAUAUGUACAUAUUGCCCGUCGCUUUCAUUUAUAAAUUGGAAUAAGUCGUAACAAAGUAGAAGUACUGGAAAGUGUUUCUAGAAAGAA
rnacentral:ncRNA from 1 species